rnacentral:lncRNA from 1 species
GGGGGAGGCCCCUCCCCCCAUUUCCACCCUCCCCCGGUUCCCAUGGAAACACAGAGUGGUUAGGAGGGAAAAUGCCUAGCGAGGAGGGAUAUGAGGAGGGAUUAGGAGUAACAACUGGGGCUGGGGACAGGUGUGGACAGGGUCUCCUUCCUGACACGGGGUGAAGGCAAGGGCCUGGUAGAGCUCAGCAGCCCCUCGGGCCCCUUGGCAGCAGCCAGAAGAAGGGGUGUGGGGAGAGAACCACCUUCCACUGAACCCAAGGUCCAAUACUGGCAGUGCCCUCGAGUCGGUAAUAACAUAGUAAUAACAGCAGCUGAAUAAGCCCAGAGCAUUGUGCCAUGGGCCAGCACAGGGACGGAGUCCCACAACACCUCAUCUCCCCCUUACAGACUGCUGCUUCUUCCCUGUAGAGACCCGCAGAGCGAGGCUGAGGCUCUGUGCCAGCUCGGUGUUUAGAGUUAUGAUCAGAAAUGAUGCGACAUCAACAAUAGAAAGCCCUCUGACCCAGCAAGUCCACUGCUAUCAAGCCUAAGAAUGGAUGUCGACAAGAAGAUGCUUCUCCGAGCAGGUUUCUUACAGAAGUGUUCCUACUCGAGCAAAAUCAGAAAUCCAUUCUCCAACAACAGGAGGGUGGUUACACCCAGGUAUACACGCACAGUAAAAUACAGGGUGCCUGAAAGUGAUCUUGUAAAGUAUGUGCUUGGUCCAAAGCCUGGAAGGAUGUUCAAAGCCUGGAAGUGCAGAUGUUAAUGGGUGUUUCAUUAGCAGGGUUGAUUACAGCUUGCAGAGACCGAUUUAGGAAGCCCGUGGGCGUUUGGAAGCAGCUUGUGAGCGGAGCUGGAGGCCGGCUGAGAGCUGCGGAGAGUGAGUGCCCAGAGGAAGGCAAGGCAGAAAACAAAGAGAAGCCAGCAAGCACCCUUUCCUAUUUUUCUUUUUGCUUUGAUUUUUCAAAAAACAGUUCUCUGGAAAAUCCUUGUUUUGGUCGAAAUGCUUCCUCCUCUUCCAUCUCCUCCAGGCCUCCACAGAGGGCCCAAAUCUAAGCCUAGGAGGCCUGGAGCAGGGUUCUGGUCCCAAUGCUUCCAGUAACUCGCUGUGCAACCUUGCACUAGUUGUUCAUCAUCUCUGGGCCUCAGUUUCCU